rnacentral:rRNA from 1 species
GAUGAACGCUGACAGAAUGCUUAACACAUGCAAGUCUACUUGAUUCUACUUCGGUAGUUGAUGGUGGCGGACGGGUGAGUAACGCGUAAAGAAUCUGCCCUUUAGUUUGGGAUAACCUUUGGAAACGGAGGCUAAUACCGGAUAUUAUGGAGACGUCGCAUGACGACUUCAUGAAAGCUAUAUGCGCUAGAGGAGGACUUUGCGUCCCAUUAGUUAGUUGGUGAGGUAAUGGCUCACCAAGACCGCGAUGGGUAGCCGGCCUGAGAGGGUGAUCGGCCACAAGGGAACUGAGACACGGUCCUUACUCCUACGGGAGGCAGCAGUGGGGAAUAUUGGACAAUGGCCACAAGCCUGAUCCAGCAAUUCUGUGUGCACGAUGAAGGUCUUCGGAUUGUAAAGUGCUUUCAGUAGGGAAGAAAAAAAUGACGGUACCUACAGAAGAAGCGACGGCUAAAUAUGUGCCAGCCGCCGCGGUAAUAC